AGAGUUUGAUCCUGGCUCAGGAUGAACGCUAGCGGCAGGCUUAAUACAUGCAAGUUGUACGGGAUUUCGGGUAGCAAUACCUGGAUGAGAGUAGCGCACGGGUGCGUAACGCGUAUGCAACCUACCUUUAACCGGGACACAACCAUGAGAAAUUGUGGCUAAUAUCCCAUAGUACUGCGAUGUGACAUCACAUUGCAGUUAAAGCUCCGGCGGUUAUAGAUGGGCAUGCGUGACAUUAGCUAGUUGGUGAGGCAACGGCUCACCAAGGCGACGAUGUCUAGGGGUUCUGAGAGGAUUAUCCCCCACACUGGUACUGAGACACGGACCAGACUCCUACGGGAGGCAGCAGUAAGGAAUAUUGGGCAAUGGACGCAAGUCUGACCCAGCCAUGCCGCGUGAAGGAUGAAGGCCCUAUGGGUCGUAAACUUCUUUUAUACGGGAAAAAACCACAGGUCGUGUAUCUGUGCUGAUGGUACCGUAAGAAUAAGCAUCGGCUAACUCCGUGCCAGCAGCCGCGGUAAA
rnacentral:rRNA from 1 species